UGUGUAGGGGGUUUGGUUAGUCUUGCUUGAAAUCUCCCGGCUUAACCGGGAACACGGGUGAGAAACGGCCAGACUUGAGGGUGCGAGAGGCAAAUGGAACUCAUGGUGGAGGGGUGAAAUCCGUAGAUAUCAUGGGGAACACCAAAGGCGAAGGCAAUUUGCUGGCGCACACCUGACCCUGAAACACGAAAGCGUGGGGAUCGAAAA
rnacentral:rRNA from 1 species